GAUGGACGCUGGCGGCGUGCCUAAUACAUGCAAGUCGAGCGAACAGACGAGGAGCUUGCUCCUCUGACGUUAGCGGCGGACGGGUGAGUAACACGUGGAUAACCUACCUAUAAGACUGGGAUAACUUCGGGAAACCGGAGCUAAUACCGGAUAAUAUAUUUAAACGCAUUGUUCAAUAGUGAAAGACGGUUUUGCUGUCACUUAUAGAUGGAUCCGCGCCGCAUUAGCUAGUUGGUAAGGUAACGGCUUACCAAGGCGACGAUGCGUAGCCGACCUGAGAGGGUGAUCGGCCACACUGGAACUGAGACACGGUCCAGACUCCUACGGGAGGCAGCAGUAGGGAAUCUUCCGCAAUGGGCGAAAGCCUGACGGAGCAACGCCGCGUGAGUGAUGAAGGUCUUCGGAUCGUAAAACUCUGUUAUUAGGGAAGAACAAAUGUGUAAGUAACUAUGCACGUCUUGACGGUACCUAAUCAGAAAGCCACGGCUAACUACGUG
rnacentral:rRNA from 1 species